GGAGGGAUCCUUGCGGGUGCGAUCAUACCGGAUCCCAUCAGAGCUCCGCAGUUAAGCGCGCUCGGGCUAGAGUAGUA
rnacentral:rRNA from 1 species